UACGUAGGGUGCAAGCGUUAAUCGGAAUUACUGAGCGUAAAGCGUGCGCAGGCGGUUGUGCAAGACCGAUGUGAAAUCCCCGAGCUUAACCUGGGAACUGCAUUGGUGACUGCACGGCUAAAGUGUGUCAGAGGGGGGUAGAAUUCCACGUGUAGCAGUGAAAUGCGUAGAGAUGUGGAGGAAUACCGAUGGCGAAGGCAGCCCCCUGGGAUAACUCUGACGCUCAUGCACGAAAGCGUGGGGAGCAAACAGG
rnacentral:rRNA from 1 species